rnacentral:lncRNA from 1 species
UCAUUUUCCUUAUUUUCAUUUUCAUAUAAUUUUCUCUUCUUUUCUUAAUACUCCAGCACUAAGUGUGAGGAGCACUAAGCGUUUUAGUCAGUGACACUAACAUUUAAGCACCAAAUUUUAAGAGUUAAAUGGAUAAAAGCAGCUUACCCUGUCUUUGUGCAAGCUAAGUGAGUAAAUAUCUUUUUUAACCUGUCACUGAGUUCUAACGUGAAAUAUUCAGUGUUUAAAACAAAGCAAAGAGUUAGACCAUCACAUUCACAAGCUCCUCUAAAUCAGGCUCAUGUGAACGCUGAGCGUAUAAAUGCUUGCCUUAUUGGUGCAGUUGAUUGAACCCCACAUUUUCAUGUAAGAAUGUUUCUGGUCCCUUUAUUUAACAGUUAGGGUUGACUCAACACCUUGGGAGCAGACGCCACGUUUUGAAAGUCCUACAGCAACCUCCUGUAUUUCCCAGGGUCUGUAUUCCCUUCAUCUCCUUUCAUCUCCUACCAAAAGGAAGCUACCAAUAGGUUUGUAUAAAUGCAGCCACUGUUUUGCAUUCUACUCUAAGCUCCUUGCUUCAUUUCUUCUGGACUUAGCUCAUUAUAGUUAAAUGGUGCUAGAAGCUUGUGUCUUGGUGUGCUGCUAAUGGGGCAGAGCUCCAAUUAGCUGCUGGCGCAAGCACUGAAACAAAUCAGCAGCAUCUGCAAUGCACAGCUGGAUGGCAAAGACACCCGAAAUGUGCUGGGGAUUGAACUGAAGCCAAAGGCAGGAGUACUAAAGACAGAAAUCUGGAUCAGGCCUUGGAGAAGAUGGCUGUAGGGCCCACAGCUUGAGAGUCUGUCUGCGUAUGGAGAGUUAAAGAAGAGCUCAGAGAAGAGACAAAGUUUGGACUGCAGCAAGGAUUUCAAGGUAUCCUUUCAUCCUGAACAGGUGGCAAGCAUCUUGUGGUGUUUUUCUUUGCACAUCACUUUUACACAGUAAAGUUCAUUUACGCAUAGGUCCAGAAGUCGUGGAAAAACAUGUAGAGAUCACAAAUUCUGUUUUGCUGUGCAGGAGAGAAUUACACAGCUGAGGCACAGCAGACAGAAUUAGCGAUUCAGAAGCCAGGUUGGUUAAGAGGCUGCUGAUUUUCUCCUUGUGUCCAUCACUCCAGCAGUUGUGCUUGGUCUGAAAGGAAUGAAGGGAUACUUUCCCAGUGGUCACCCAAUGGACAGGAGGUCCACGUGUCUGGUUAAACCACAUCACCAUGACACGACAAAUGGGCCCAAGUUCCUUCAACAAGCAAGUCAAAUCCUGCUACCUAUAAAAACAACCCCAUACCUGGCAGAAGUUCUCUUCGCCCCUGCAGAUGGUGUUGCAGUUGGUGGUGUUGCUUACAAAGAUGAGAUAAAAAUAUAUCAGCCUUGCUACAGGAAGGGCAUUGGCACCAUCUCAGACUCAGACUAUGGCUGGAGCUUUUGGGGUCAGGGGAAGUCUUUCAGCUCUCACUCCCAGAAGCAAAACAGCAGCCAUCAGACAGCCGAGACUGCCAGCCCCCAGCUGUCCCGCAAGAACGAGCACGUAUCCUUUGACUCUCCUGAAAGUGGGAUUCAAUUUCUCCGCACUGCAGGGAGGGGGCGAAGUGCUUUGGGAAGGGAAACAGCAGAGGCUCCCCACGGCCGCGGCCUUGUGCAGGGUUCCUGUGGCCCAGCUGACUCACUCCCUGCUGGCAGCCUGCAGCCGCACGGACACCACAAAUAGGCCGCUGACCUACUUGCAGAGGGGCCAGCGGCAGCAGCAGGCGCUCAGCCUGCUUUCAGGAUGGCACACGUGUCCCUUCCCAGCUGACUCUUCACUUCAGUUCCUAACUGGCUUCAUUCUGCAUUUGAUGCUAACUCUGGGGCUUCCACGCGCAGGGGCUAGGAGUACAGGUCCAGUUUCCCCUAUGGUAUUUAAAACAGAUCCCAUGAACGUGAAAGCAGGUCUAGGCUCAGAGGAUGUUCUAUGAAUGUGAAGUUAAUGGAGGAGCAAUCUGCCAGUCUACAGUGGUGUUACUAAAGUCAAGGAAGAACUGCCAUUUCAAUUCCAGUCAUGCUGUCCAGAUUCUUGAUCAUCUUAGAGGCCCUCUACUAACACGUGUGAUAAUUUUCGUGCCCCUUUGUCAUGCUCCGUCCCUGGAGACAUUCAAGGUCAAGCUGGAUGGGGCACUGUGCAACCUGAUCUGGUGGGUGGCAGCCCUGCCCAUGGCAGGAGUUGGAACCAAAUGACCUAUAAGGUCCCUUCCAACACAAGCUAUCCUGUGAUUCUGUGUUUCUGUACUUUAUGUUAACUCUUAAUAUUUUAUGCUGAGAAGGGUCUCAGUGCAUUAGUUCUGAUCACGCUGUCAUUGCUCUUCUACAGCACGGCUCCAUAAAUGUAUGUGUAAUUUUUAACUCUAUGCAUAAUCAUUACUAAUUUUGGAGUUUAAACAGUUUUAGAUAAGAAAUACACUUUCCAUCCCCCUUUAAAUAGGGAGUUAGGAACUUGUUUGUGCUACUCGCCUUGGCUCGUAUCUGGAUGGAGUAUGGGUCUUAUGUCUCUUGAGACAAUGUCUGCUUUUGAUAUGGUUGCUAAAUCUGGUUCUUUUCCCUGUUAAAUUUGGCUGCCUUGACAGAGUAAUCCACCCUUCUACAGACCAGAUGACUAGAAAGGCUGGUUAUACUUUUCAAGCAGUUCUCUUUUGGGAUGAUCAAGUUACAGCAAAUUUAUCAGCAAUUAUACAAAUAAAGAUUUGCUUUAACUUCAAGGGCUUGGGAUUUUUUAAGGUAGAAAUCCUAAGAAAAUGCAGAAAAUGGGAAAAUUAUACAUUAGCAGAGCAUCACUAAAAUGGCCAGGUCUGGUGUGCAUGAUUUACAGAGGCUGAGAGAACUUGGUCUGCAGAAGAGAAGGCUAAAAGGGGCAUCUAACUGCUGUCGUGACUACCUGCUGGAUAGUUACAAGGAAAAUGAAGACACUUUCUGGGAAGUCAAUAGCAAAAGAGGCAACAGAGAUGAAUCACAAAAAGGAAAUUCUGACUAGGAAAAAAUCCUCACAAUGAAGGUGGCCAAACAUCAAAACAAGUUGUCCAAAGGACUUGUGGAGACCAUUCUGGCAAGUACUCAUAACUCAACUAGACAAAACCCAGAGCAACCUGACCUAAUAUUGAAGCUAGUCCUGUUUUGAGCAGAAGACUAGACUUCCCUUUCUUAUGAUAUUCCUUGAAUUUUGCAUUGAUUCUAUGAAAAAAUGUUGUAACUAGUUGUCUAAUAAGACAUACAUUGAUAGGGAUACCACAAUUUGCACAAGAAACAAAAAGUACUAAAUUAAAUCUCUUUAUUUCCAGAAGUAGUUUCAUCAAUAUAAGGAUACAAAAUGUAUUUCAUAUUCAUUUUAAAGUUAUUUAAUCUUCACAGGUUGUGAGUGUCUUUUUAAUCAAUCAUAGAAGCCACAAAGCUGGAAAUUCAGUGUGCUGUUCAGACUUCCAAUGAUGUCUGGUGAUGUGAAGAGUUUGCUUGCAUAUGCCCAGGAACAGUGAUCUCUUCUAUGAAAUAAAUGUAGAGAAUAAUAGACACAUUCUUCUUGAUUAGCAGAGUAAAGGAUAACUCUGUAACAUACCCUGCAGCUAUGAUAAAAGAGAUAAAAUGGGAAAAAAUAAUGGAACUUAAAUUCGGUAGAGAAGUAAAGGCUAUAUGAUCAUUUCUCUCUCUGGGGCAUUCUUCAGAUGUGAAGCCGAACCAAAUAUGCGGAGUAACUCAAGUUUGAGCUGACAAGCAAUCACAUACUUAAGAGUUCAAUAUGUAAAGCAAUUUCAAACCUACUCCAAAAAAGACAGGCUUGGGGAGAGUUUCUUUUGGGAAAAUACUUAUCUGUAGCCAAGACUAAGUUAAGCAUUUUGUCUAACCCCAAAGUUUUAGCCAAUGUGGAGAAACAGGCAUGUCUGGAGGUCAAUUUAUUUUGUUCAAGGGUAUGCAUUUGAAACUGUGAUUCUUAUAGCUGAUGAAAUGAAUGCCACUCAAAGGUUUCAUAAUGUUGGAAAGUAAAUAUUUAACUAUGGAAAUAAGGAAAUUAUUUUGACUUUUUCUAUAAAAAUGGGGCUAUUACUUUGAAGAAGAAUGUGUUUUGAUUAAUAAUUACAAAAUUGUGAAAUCCAACACUUAGCUCUAUUUUGGGGUGAAGAAAAAAAAAAAAAAAAGAAGAACACUGAGCUUUCUUUCCUUUGCAGCUUUUUGGUUUUCUCAGCACAACAGAAAAACUAACUCCCUGUUUUACAUUCUACUGGUCCUGUACCACACGCAUUAUGGUAGAGUUGAGUCAGUAUUUACAAAGCAAAACUAAAAGCCUCUUAAGUAGCAAAUAUGGUUGCUCAUAAGCUGCAGAAUGUGAUCUGUUAAUUAGUAUUAUUAUUGUGCUGCUUUUUAGAAAAUCACUGAGCGCUUCGUCCAAAUGCCUGUGAUUACAAAUGUUUCAUACGUUUUAAGAAAGUGAUUAUCCUCUUGAAACUGAAUAUGUGACAGUUUGAUGUUUUCAUUCAUUGAUUUGUGAUCCUAUUUAAAAUUUAAGAGUCAUCCAGACAGGAAAAACACUACUUGAAAGUACAAACACAUGGCACGUACAAAUACACUAAAACGCUUGAAGAAAGCUCAUUCAAACAGCCAAAAGACUGAAUAUUAUUAAUGCAAAAAUAUUCCACAGGGAAAGAACUUAAAAUCAAGACUAAAAACAUUAAAAAGCUCAUUUCAGAAUUUUCUCCCUUCAAAAACAAUGUUCAAUCCACAAUAAGCAGUUCAGCCAGCUCUAGACUCAACUCGGGUCUCAUCCAGUCAUUAUUUUGGUACUUGAAAGCAAAAGGGAUUUGAUGGGAAUGUAUGAUGGAUUAUUUUCUGCACGUUUUUAAUUGGGUGACUUCUUCCCUUAAAGGGUUCCUAAUUUUUCACACAUGUCUCCAAACAUCCUCUGCCAAUACUAAAUUCCGCUCAGAUGGGUUUUCUGUUAGAGAAAAAUCUGGCAGUUACGACUCCUUGGCUAUAAUCCAGUAAAUCCAAGUAGGAGGAGCCAGGAAACUGAAGUGUUUUAUGUAGAUAGCAUAUUUGUUCUUUGUGCACCCAGAUUUAUACAUUCUUGUAAUAAACAAAGCCCUGAACAUUUUUUGGUUCCUUUUUUAAAUUAUUUCUUUUAAAAGCAAUAGUACCACAGAACCUCCUUCCAAAUCAUUAGUAUUCUUUCUCUGGUCCUCAGUUCAUCAAAAGUUAACUGGCUGUAUUUACUGAUGUCUACAAAUCUCUCCACAUCUCUCUCUCUUUGUCUACAUUGGUGUAUAUGAUCUGAUGGAAGCAUUUCUAGGAAUUAAAAGAAAAUUGGUCCGAUAGUGUGAAUUAUCCAUCGUCUUCUUAGGCAGAAUUAAUCUUACUGAGUAGCUGAAUGCCACCGGAUAUUAUAUCUUCUUUAGAUAUUCCCUCUUUUAAUCUUCAGAAAGGGGAUUUGAGACAGAGAAACCACUUGAUAAAUUUCCUUGAAAAAAAAAACAGAAGACUUUGUGGACAUAAAUUAUAGACUUUUAACUCAGAUGGGGAAUUGAGAUUUCCAAGUUUGUAGAUGAAGAUUCAAGUACGCCAACAAUGAGUAGUUGAAGUAGUACAGCUGAGCAAAGCAAGGCAGCUUUAAAAGGCCCCAAAUGCUUGCAUCCACAUUCCAUGACUUUAUGAGUGAUUAUUUUUGCUACAGAUUUAAACAAAGCCUAUCAUCUUAUUCCUUAUUUUUCAGCUUGCUGAAAAAAAUGAUUUGAAGAAUGGGUUGUACCAUACCACUGAUGCCUCCUUUAUACAACAAUGUCAGAGGUUUAGGGCUAGAAAGCUCCCAUACCUAAGUUCAGUUAGAGAGGCAAUUGUGUGUAUGCUUGAGUUACUGAGGACAUGCUGAGUACAAAAGUCUGCAUAAGGUAUUUCUACUCUCUCUCUCUCUCUCUUAACCUUUUUUGUCUCUCCUGCAAGUUUGGGUUUGUUGGCUGAUUACCAAUGUUAAUGACUGUUCUUCAUUCUAAGGGCUCAACAGACAAGGGUAUGUCAGAACUGAAAAUUCUGUUCCACAGGAAAUUCUGACAUUUUGAAAUAUGUCCAAGUUUGAAGAGGAAAAAAGACCAGAGAAUUUGUAAAUUCCCAUGUAAUAAAACAUUCCCCUAAUGCCCUGUCAAUAGAAAUAUACCAUUUUAUUAAAAUGCUUUUAUUUUUUAAAAGAGCUUUUCUGAAAGAGGCAUUGUAAAUAAGAAGCAUUCAAUUCCAAAAGCUUUGCAAUGAGCUUUGAACAAAUUCUCUUUUACUAAGAAUGAAUGCUUCCAAUUUGAAACACACAACUUGAUACCAGUUCCCACUGUUGAAAUGGCAUUUUCAAAUUGGAAAAUAUUUAUUUACAAAGUGCCUGCCCAGCACUAGGAAUACAGUGGAGAACCAGAGAAGCACAGGUAGAAGACCCAACCCUAAGCAGCAUGGUGGAGUUCACAGCAAUGCAACUACUCUGCAGAGAUUCUCCCAGGCACUCGGUGCUCCCUUGGUCAUCCCCAGCUUCAGCAGCCAUUCUUCGGAACGUAUUAGUGAAGAGAGAUUUGUUGCCAUGCUGCAUUACACCAUUUUUUUUUCCUCCAGCUAUUAUAUUACUUGCUAGGCUGUUGAAAAGAAGAAGCAAAAAUACAGCUCAAACUACCAGCAUUCUUUGCCACAAACCUGUAUCAACAGCAGCUUGUCCUGGCCGUUGAGCUCAUCUCUCAAAUCUGUAAAGCCUAACUCUGGCAAAUCUGUUCACAGCAUGUUUAGCUUAAAUCCUUCAAGCAUUACUAUUGUAAAUUAGGAAGUAUUCUGAAGUGCUUCAGUGAUACAUUUAACUGGGGCCUAAAGAAAGAGUAAAUAAGAUAUAAGGCGGAAAAGAAUGUGUCCUUGAUUUGAGUGUUUUCCCUGUUGUUUAGGAUAAUGUAUUUUAUCACUGAAUAAUUUCUGAUCUUUGCAAAACACUAUGGAAAUUGCUUGUUGACACAGUGUCAGAGCUGAGAUGUUUAUGUUUUCCUGGUGCUUUUAAUCUGUCGCAAAUCUUUGGCAACAAUAUCUUUGAGGCUGGGGAAAAUGUGUCUGAAAUUGUAUUGACAUUGCAAAUGGAUUUACAAGCUUGUCCUUUAAAAUCUUCUUUCCCCUUUGUGCUUUACUGCUUACAGUAGAGUGGCAAUAUUCUGGAUAACUUCAGAAAUACGUAUAGUGGUUUGAAUGCAAACUGUGUAUUCUGAGACCAAGUUUCCAUCUCAGCAUCACUGCAACCACCAUUUUUGUAUACUGAGAUAUAGGUGAUGCCAUAUGCUAUGUCUGCUAUUUCAUCUCACUGAGUAACACUGUAGACAAACAGAGAACAACUAAGAGCAUCAACAAAAUCAUUUCAUACUAAAGACAGCAUUUCUGUGAUGCAACACGUGGAGACUGUUCCUACUUUUCAUGUGGAAUUUCACAGUACAGCCAUGCAAUAAGGAAACCACUGGGUCGCCAAAUGACUCACUGCAUCACUUGGUAAUAAACAAAUGCUUGCUUCAUAAAAUGCAUCUUUCUACUAAAUUCCUGCCUUGAGAGUUUUAUGUAGCUGUAAAAAUUUGCUGAAAAAGCUCUGAGAUGUACAGAGUGAUACUAGUUUGAAUUACAGCUUCCCUAUUCAAAUAGCCUUACACUAUUCCUCUGAAAAGUUGCUUUAUCAGAAAUGGGAUCUUUGUUUCACACAGAUGACAUGUGAACACACUGGCUUGGAGGAGAAUAGAUUCCAUAUAGCUUUUCUGGUUAUGAACAUGAUGAGACUGCAAGUAUUUCACUCCUACUACAGACUCAGGGCUCCAGUUUUGCCUGCUACGUGUCCUUUGAUAUGGAUUGAUAAUAAGAAAUAUCUCCACUUCACUGAUUUCUGGUUUUUUUUCUAACUCCUCUCAUAUCUGCUGCUAACCCAUUAGUGAAAGAAAGAAUAUAAAUAAUGAAUGAGCCAUUACAAUGCAGGAUCCUAGUGAAAGACUGCAAGAAACUCAGACUUUUCCAGGGAAGGCUAACAUGAUUCAUACCGUACGCUUGCAUAAUAUUGGCGGCUAUAAGACUUAGGAGGAAUUAUUUUAACAGUUUGUUGUUCUCACAUAUCUUUAAAUAUUUGUCAUUGUGGGUCUCAGGGGAAGCCCAUGUUUAAGUUGGACAAGAGUUGUACGGAUAAAUCAUUACUGCUAGCAGAUCAUUCAGGACCAUCCACUUCCAUAGUCAGGCUCUAUUACUCACCAGUUCUAGCGCCAGCUGAAGACACCAAGGCACGGCUUCAUGCUGGAAUAUCACUGGAAUCUUUGAAUAUUACUGGAUCUCUGAGUAGUGCCCAGAGCUGCCUAUGGAGCCACAUAGGCCACAGAUUUCUGAAAUUUGAAAACCUUCACAGUUGUGAAUUUUCCAGCUGUUCUGUUUCAUAGAUUUAUUUACCCAUUUUGCAACUCUUCAAAAUUAAACUAAAUAUAAAACUGAUGUGUCACUGCCAAAUCCAAAAUCAAAGCAUUUAUUGUGAAAAUAUCAAGAUUAAACUUUUAAUCUUUGAUUCCUUCCCUCUUGGCUUUUCCAGAUGAGACAAUUAAGGAAAUUCAUUUGAAGUUCCCAUGUACUCUUGCUGCCUUGACUUGUUCAGAGAAUUUACUAUUUAGAAUCAAAAUGGUGUUCCUCCGAAGCAGUGCAAAGCAAUCCUUCCUCUGCAGCCAAGACAUUCUGCAAAACUGAGAGCCAAAAGGGCUCCCAAUAGGCAGUCCACUCUCAUGCUGUCCCACAUAAGCAAUCACAUGUUGCACAUAUUGAAACAUUUGCAGUUCUAAUUGUAGGAGUUUUCAAGUAAACACCUUGAUUUCAUGUUUUAUUUUUUUUUGCGUUGUUGUUUAAAAUUUGAGUUCUCCUUCACAGUGUUGCAAACACAAACACAGCCACGCAGAACAAUACUUCCAUGGAACAGAAUUUGUGUAAUUUGGCUACCCAGACAACUGGGUAAGCCCAAUUACACAAAUGCAAGGAGCUGGAAUCUCUAGGGUCUUCCAUGGGGGGAGAGCCCUGCGUGCGAACGGAUUGGCACUUGUCUUGCUCCAUCCUUUUUUCAUGUGUCAUUCCAGAAAGCAGAACCAGACUACAAACUCAUGCCGUGGCUCCACAGCCAGCUGAGGCCGAGAAGCCUGAGGAGUUUCUUUUAUGCGCCUAGCAUGAGCCUGUAUAUUAAAGCCAUUAACAUCACAGAUGAUAGCCUUCAUUGUGCCUCAAUCACGGAAUGGGUAAAUGAUGGUAUCACUGUGCAAAGAAAAUCUGUUCUUCCUGAGGUCUCUAGGAUGCACAUGGGCGCAGCCUGAUAUUGUCCAGGGAAGGCAGUACCUCUGGAAGACCUACAUUAAGCUCCUCUUAGACACUGCCUAAUGCCCAUAUUUGUGCCAAUAACCCAUGCAAUAGUUAUGAACAGCAAACUGGGAUUGUUAAAAUGGGGUGAUUUUUCUCGUCACGGAAUUAUUUUGAUUACUCCUGCCAUGAGAUUGUUACGUGGCACUGGAAGCCAAGAGAGGAAUGGAGUUCAAAAUCCUGCGCUCUAUUCUAAAAGCGCUGUUUAUUUUAAUAACUAUGAGCUCCAUGUGAGGACUGUAACACCAAAUAACAUGAAGAAAAUUCUGUGGCAGACAGGCCCUGUGCUGAAACCCACACAGCCAUGCCAGCUGGUUUCUGAAGGAUAUUUACCUAGGCUUUCAGCAUUUUCCUGAUGUUCUUCAGAUGCUGUCAGUAGUUGAAAGCUUUAUUCAGUGUGCCUCCAAUAGUGCUGUGCUCCAACAUUCCGCUGAGUUCAGUGGUUUGGAUGCAAACACAGCCGACCAUCUACAACAAAGCCUUGCAGAAUUUCAUGAGCUGAUCCCAAACAAAAAUUAGUUAUUUCCAAGUAGCAGCGUCUCAUCAUGCGAUAUAUACAAGCAAGGAAAUAAAAAGACAGUCACUUCAUGCCCAGGAAAUACUCAGUGGAAGUCAUAUACAUAUGCAGAAUAGAAGAUAACUGUGAGGCCAGCAUGUCAGUGCAUCACAUGUAUAGUGCAUAAAUUAUAUGGUUAGUCUGACUUCACACAGUAAGUGGGUUUACCACGCGUUGUGCAGUUCAUCUGGGCAACAUAUGCUCCAAAGUUCUAAUUCUGUGGAAGUACUGCAUACUCUGUGGGGCUGAUCUGCUGUGCAUGGUGAAUGUGUCUGGGAUCUCUAGGUAUCCAACAGCUCAGGCUGAGCUGCUAUUCUGGUCAGGCUGUCCCAGACAACUGUCAGCAUUCUGCUCCUAUGAAAUACCAGGACCAAGAAAAGGGCCUGUCUGUGAAAACCAGAUGCAUGGUAGGUAAGAGGAAAAAAAUAUAUUGCAUUCCUGUGUAUUACAUUUUGUUACUGACCUUACACCAGAUCUCCAGACUGUUAAGUCUCCUCCUCAAGACCUAUGAGAUGUAUAUUUAUAGAAGAAAAUAUCAAAGCAUACAGAAAUAACACAGUAACCUGAACUGUUAAGUAAAUGUCAAUUAAAGUUAAAUAAAAAGUCAAUGUAAAAUUAAAAAAAAAAAAAAAAAAAGCUUUAAAUAACAUAGAACUACAAUUCUAGAAAUGUUCCUAAGCAGAAAAAAAUUGAUACCAUUGUCAGAUCAGGAAGAACGGGCUGAACAACCAACGUGUGCAGUUCACAGAGACUGAGCUCAAAGAAGUGCGCAUUCAUUGUUCUGCAUACAGCUGUGGCUGUUCCUUUUUCGAUAUCCUUUCUCCUUCACAACUGGAGCUACACUGCCCAUGUUGCAAGGGAGGUGUUCCUGAGAAGUUACGUGAGUGUGGCGAAGCAGGUCACUUGAAGAUGACAUGUUCUGGGCCACUAACCCCAUUCAUCCACCCAGGAUUCCUUUUCCUUCAGAUACCGUCUAGUGUUACGGCGCUCGGUGUUGAUUGCCAGGGCACUCGACAUUUGGUUGUUGUCUGAUGAGAGCAACUAACUGGAAUGCUCCCUCUGAGAAAACCUAUUGACAUAUAUGGGCUCUGUUGUAUCUUUGCAUACGUAGUUAAUACGCCCUGAAACCUGACAUAAGGAAAACUCACCAAAUGCUGUUUGGAUGUAGCACAAACGUAACUCUUCUUGCUUCAUUAAACAUUCACUCAUAACUUGCAAUUCAAUUCCAUCACCUGAAAUAAAAUACUUGAGACAACUGUAAACUAAAUGUCAGGCCUCUUUCUUGUCAUAGAAGAAGCCUUUUCCAUUCAGCAGAAUUAAUCAACUUAUCUUACUUGAAAAAUAUUUUUUUUCUGGAAACCUCCCAGAGAGUUUGCUUUGUGAGGCCAUCUCCCAGCAAUUCAAUAGGAAACAAUACGGGGUGAUUCAGAUGGGAAGGAUCAAACAAUGGGAUAUAAAUCCUGAUAUAAGACUGCAGAUGUUUUAAAUACAAAUAUUUUUAACCCUAAUACUCAUCCGUGUUAUACCGAUGAUAUGAACUGGCAGAAUGAGAGACUUGCAAUAAAGUACAAUACAAACAAAGCCUAUUUCUACUCAGUGCAUGAAUUUGAAAAUAAAUCAAACGCCGAAGCAUAGUUUCUUCAAACAUCUUUUUCCAAAGCCAACGGUUUCAUGGUAACGUAAUUUAGGUGAUGAGCACGCUCGGAUAAAUGCCAUGUGGGCCACAAACUAUCUGCUCCACCAAGAGAAACUGCCGUCCCAACUUAUCCCAGCUUCCUCUGCACCCACCAUCUUCAUUUUUUCCAGUGCAGUAAUAGCAAAAGCAUUGACAUGAUUCAGGACUUACUCCAAAAUUCUCUGCAGCUCUUUCUAGAAAAUACACAGGGUUGUACACUGAGAGUAUCUCCUGACAAACAGGAGAUCUUUUGGGGAUUAUGCUGCCUUCCCCUCUCCCCACCUGCCCUUUCUCUUCCCUUUAUUUCUCAUUGCUUACGAGACGGAUGGUUAUUAUCAGUUUAUUAUUACUGUUUUUCCACAGACUUUCUCAAAUGUCAAGUGAAUCUGAUCUGGAGUUCAGGCCCAUAAUUACACUGGAUCGACUCCAGGAACUCGUAAAUAAAUCGGUGGUGGCUGCAGUGGCUGCCAGAGCUCUGUCGUUCUGCUCUUCUGAGGGUGGACAGAGGCUUUGGCUCUUUUCUAAAAUUCUACACUUGCCAUUGAGUUUUUCUCACCUUCUUUUAAAAGACCCUGGGCUUCCUCGCUCGAGUUUGGCAUAGCCUCACACAGGAAGAGAAAGCUACCGGCCCGCCACAUGGUUGAAUACAUUCAUUUAGAAAAGCAGCUGAAAUGCAGAUUGUUACUUUCUGCUUUCUCCGUAUGUGGAAACCUUGCAGGGGCAGACAUAUUUCUGUCUCUCCUCUGGCCCCUUUGUUGACGUUCAUAGUUUACACUGGGCUUUACAGUGAGGCACAUCUUUGUCAUGGGAUAUCGACUGUGUUGAGCUUUGGAGAUCAGUUCCACAGCUUGCCAAGAAGGUCCCCUAAGUGCAGGGAUGCUUGGAUUCAAGGUUAUGCAUUUAAAGGAAGCAGCGGGCACAACAUCCAUUCACAUGGCUUACGGAGCUCUGGGAAGCUGACUGGUAAAGUUAAAUGUUAUUUCCAAGCCUGUUUCUAAUCAUAUCAAUCCAUAUGGAGCACAGCAUCUGGUUACAGAAUGGAAUCUCCACCCAGCACAGGCUAGAACUUAACGCUGUAGAUGUCAUCCUGAUAGCCCUCAACACUUCUUCCCUGAAAAACUUCAAAUAAACUAUUUCAGCACAAGAUGAGAGCUGAGGACAUGUUCAGGAAACGGUUCCUUUGCUUCAGCCUCAUCUGCAGUUAGAACAAGUCCCUAAUAUCUGAAGGGAGGGAGUCCAAUGAAUGGGGCCAGGCUCUUUUCAGUGGUGCCCAAUGAGACCAAUUCUCUUCACAGGGGUCACUGAAAGGAAAGUAGGGAAUAGCAGAGCUUUAUCAGUGAUAACAUUGUUCACUAUCAUACCAAUUGCAUAAAGGUAAACUGCUGGACUCCUUUAAGAUAGGUUGAGCUACUGUUCCUGCUGCAGAGCACUUUUCAAACCAGUGCCAGUUACUUCAUGGAGUGAAAAACACCGAAUUCUUUGCAAAAGAAUGUCAUUUCUUUCCUAUGUCUCCCCCCAGGCAGCCCCAUUGUUUAAAUAAGUAUGUGCUUGUUCCCCAAAUACAGAUGGUUUUGACUCCCAUCAUAAAUCAAACACGCUUGUGUCAAACACAUUAAAAAUGUAGGGAAAAUCAUCUUUUUAACUGAUGUGGAUUUAGAUGCUUGGUCUGACCCAAAUUACAUUUCUUUAAUAAUCUUAAUUCUUUCCUGGUUCUUCUGGGAACAAAAGAUUCCAAUAUAUCAUCAUGCCUCCCUCUCCUCCCCUGGAAUUCCAAUCAAUCUUUUACUCCUUUUUAAAUGUAAAUUUUAAACAAUCAUGUAUCUGGAUCCUGGAUUAAGUCUGCAGGGGGAAAAAAUCUCUGGCAGAAGAUGGUAAGGACUGUGCCUAAGGCAAAAUCCAGACAAAUCGGUUCUCAACUGGAGUAAAAACAGCUCUUGGCAAAUGGAUCACAGGUUUUGGUUGCAAGAGUUCCAUCCAGAACCCAUUCUGAUAUUUGAAAAUAAAUCGGACAGAGUCACAUCAAUCACAACAAAAGCAAAUGUAACAUCCAAUUGCACUUUCCCCCACUCAGACAGCCCUCUCAGGCCCAUUUUAUAGGGCAUUUUUUACAGGAUCAAAAUUCCUUGGUGGUUCCAGUGAGAAGCUGCCGCCUUUUUUAUCUGUAGGGAGAGAGAACACCUCUGAUAGUUUCAAUCAGGAUGACAGGAGCUGUGCUGAAAGGCAGCAGGAGGAAGCACACUUUUAAGGUCACUGUCCAUUCUAGGAUUUCUAACCUUGCUAUGGUUUAGUUCUGCCCUCCUUUCUGUGCUAGCCUCGCUCCUUCUCUCCCUCAGUCAGACUGGAAUGACCUGCCUGUGCUUUCUGUUUGAUGUGGGUUUUGUGUAUCUGCACAAAGUAAUUCAUAACCACUGGGCAAAAGGCAGUGCCCACACCGCAUCAUUAGCCGGCAAUUAAGAAACUUCUGCCUGCACAGAGCUAUAAAGCCCAGCAGUGCUUCAGGCCCUCAGUGCUCCUUUAGAGCUCGCCUAGGGCACAAAGCUGCCAUAGUGCUGCAGGGAGGCACUUUGUAGCGUGCCCUGCAGAGUGCAUUUUGGGCACUGAUUUGAAGGUUUUACGAUUUGCCUCCUUUUAGCACGUUUCUGCACCUUGAGAUUCCCUUCUCCUGUGCAGGGAGCUGAGCAAAGGGAAUCAGCCGUUCCGUUGGGUUCCACACACUGUCUGCUCAAGCUCUCAGGUUCAACACCCCCCGAGUGAUUCUCUCUUUGGUAAUUCUUCUCAUGCUCACAUUUCAAGUUGCUUUCUGAGACCUGAUCAAGAGGAACGGGACUGAAAUCCUUCACGUAGUACACUUAGAAAAAUGUCUGUCUAAAUAAAAUGGUUAAAAAAAAAGGCGAUUCUACCUUCUGGGCUAUUUAAUAUCAGAGAACGUGAACGUGUCCCCAUGCCCCCUCACCUCAGCACUGCUGGGGGCUGUGACAGGGAGGGCCACCGGCGCGCUGAGGUGGGGUCCUGGUCUCUUUCCCGGGGGCCCAAAGAACAACUCAUGGCUAAUUUGGAAGGGACCAACGAGGGAGCGGGACAGGCCUCGGUGUGACACGGAGGGCCGUCCGGCGUGACAGGGGGCUCAGGUCAGGGGCCCCUCACACCGCACCCCACGCCGGGCCGGGCGCGGCCCCUUUAAGGAGCGGAGCAGCGCCCGCAGGAG